rnacentral:rRNA from 1 species
GUCUAAGUACAAGCAAAAAUAAAGUGAAACCGCAAAAGGCUCAUUAUAUCAGUUAUGGUUCCUUAGAUCGUAUCCACAAUUACUUGGAUAACUGUGGUAAUUCUAGAGCUAAUACAUGCAAUUAAAGAGAAACCAGUAAAAUGGGAUCUCUGCUUUUAUUAGAUUUAAACCAAUGGGGAUUGCUUCGGCUUUCUCAAUUAAAAUGGUUGAACUCUGGAUAAUUUGUUGAUCGCAUGGUCUUGUACCGGCGACGGAUCUUUCAAAUGUCUGCCCUAUCAACUAUUGAAGGUAGUGUUUUGGACUACCUUGGUUGCAACGGGUAACGGGGAAUCAGGGUUCGAUUCCGGAGAGGGAGCCUGAGAAACGGCUACCACAUCUAAGGAAGGCAGCAGGCGCGUAAAUUACCCACUCCCGGCACGGGGAGGUAGUGACGAAAAAUAACAAUACAAGACUCACAUCCGAGGCCUUGUAAUUGGAAUGAGUACACUUUAAAUCCUUCUACAAGGAUCAAUUGGUGGGCAAGUCUGGUGCCAGCAGCCGCGGUAAUUCCAGCACCAAUAGCGUAUAUUAAAGUUGUUGCGGUUAAAACGUUCGUAGUUGAACUUGUGUUUCGCACGGGCAAUACCUAGGACUAGGUAACUAGGACGGUAUCUUGUCUUAUCUUUCCAUAUUCUUAAUAGGAAUUUGGAAAAAGUGCGUGAACGUAUUAUCGGCGUGUUUCAUUUUCAUUUUUUAAAUGAAAAUAAUCACAUAAGCCCAUUUCAGUGCUCUUUACCGAGUGUUGUUGUGGGCCGAUACAAAUUACUUUGAACAAAUUAGAGUGCUUAAUGCAGGCUUGUAAUGCCUGAAUAUUUUGUGCAUGGAAUAAUGGAAUAGGACAUCUGUUCUACUUUCAUUGGUUUUUUAGACCAAGAUGUAAUGAUUAAUGGAAGCAGUUGGGGGCAUUAGUAUUACAACGCGAGAGGUGAAAUUCUUAGACCGUUGUAAGACUGACUAAAGCGAAAGCAUUUGCCAAAGAUGUUUUCAUUAAUCAAGACGA